rnacentral:tRNA from 1 species
GCCGGGGUGGGGUAGCUUGGUUAUCCUUGGGGAUUGUGGAUCCCUUGACCCGGGUUCAAAUCUCGGUCCCGGCC